ensembl:lncRNA
UCCAAAUAAAACGUGACCCGCGGCUUAACUGCGGCGACAGAAUUAAGUCAUAACUCGACGUUUUAAUGACAGCAUGUGGUGCAGUAUCAACUUAGCUGUUUGUCUUUACGCAAUAGUGUGACGUUCAAAUGACGCCAUGCAAAUGCCUCAACUUAAGGGUCAAACCUACGUUUUGGCAUUCACCCCAAAGUAAGGGUUAAGGUUUGGGAAAGGCUUGAAAAACAACAAACAAAAACAACUGCCUAGCAAAACGCUCAUCCACCACACCCGCCCACAAAGCCCUAGAAUCCCGCGGGCCUACUAGAUGGUAAAUAUAUGCUUGUGUUGCCCCUAGUGGACAGUAUAGCUUACACAUUUCGCAAGGUCCUAAUGUAACCUGGUACAGUACCUGCAGAAUCAGCAACACAUUUCUUAUUCCGUAAGGUAAUGGGCUGUACAAUGUUAACUAUGCUUUUAGUUUAACCAGAUUCUAAGGCAUGAAAUCAAUAAAUAGAAUGGAUAUGGGUCUGCUGCGGACCCUGUGGCUAUAGAAAGGUUAUAGUCAUUAUAAUAAAGUUAUUGCUUUAGGUUAAGAGGGAGCUUAUGAACUCUUAAGACAAAGGUGGUGACUUUUUCCUAAAAACAUGUCCACCUCUAAAUCUAAAUUUUUGCAGUAACACUUAAGUUGAAAUUUUGGUGCACGUUUUAAAAAAUUUUCAGUAAAUGAUUUGAAUUUCAGAAAUGUAGUUAGAGAAGGUACACCUGUUCAAUUGUUUUGUUUCCAUGUAAAAGAGGCAUACUUUCAUACGCAGAAAGAAAAAAAGAAAUGAACCGCCAUAAACCGAGCGACAGCCUAGUGUGUAUGGGUUAUGUUGUGCUUGUAAGGCCAGAGUAUUGACCACUUCAACCUCAGUGUUACCUUAAAAAGUGAGUUCACAUUGCUUAAUAAGAUUGUGCCCAGUUCCCACCCGUCAUACGUUGUGGACCAUGCAUUUUUAAAUAUAGAUUGCAUCAUCCAGCAACAUACUGUAUAUUUGCUGAACUAAGAACUUCAUAAAAUCGCACAUGGUAAAAUAUCC